rnacentral:rRNA from 1 species
GGUUGAUCCUGCCAGUAGUCAUAUGCUUGUCUUAAAGACUAAGCCAUGCAUGUCUAAGUAUAAAUAUUAUACAGUGAAACUGCGAAUGGCUCAUUAAAACAGUUAUAGUUUAUUCGAUAAUUUCUCCUACAUGGAUAACCGUAGUAAUUCUAGAGCUAAUACAUGCUGUCAAACCUGACUUUUUGGAAGGGUUGUAUUUAUUAGAUAUCCCCUUUGCAACUGGCUGGCUAGCUUGGGUAGUUGCUAGAUGGUUGAGUACAUCUUUUUGUUG